UAAACGAUGCUAACUCGUUUUUGGGGAUUUAUCUUCAGAGACUAAGCGAAAGUGAUAAGUUAGCCACCUGGGGAGUACGAACGCAAGUUUGAAACUCAAAGGAAUUGACGGGGGCCCGCACAAGCGGUGGAUUAUGUGGUUUAAUUCGAUGAUACGCGAGGAACCUUACCAAGGCUUAAAUGGGAAUUGAUCGGUUUAGAAAUAGACCUUCCUUCGGGCAAUUUUCAAGGUGCUGCAUGGCUGUCGUCAG
rnacentral:rRNA from 1 species